rnacentral:tRNA from 1 species
GGGGUGGUGGCGCAGUUGGGAGCGCGUUAGACUGAAGCGAACUUCACUCAAUCAUCUAAAGGUCAUCGGUUCAAGCCCGAUUCAUCCCA